rnacentral:lncRNA from 1 species
AUUAUUAAAUUAUAUUAUUUAGUUAGUGUUCAUUGUUGUUAGUCUUUUAAUUCAAUUUCCGUCCAUUUCAAUUCCUAGUGUCUAAAUUGAUUGUUUCCAUUAUUUUGAGUCAUUCUAAGUGUGUUUCGAGUUAUUAGAGUUUUUAGCCUAGUUUUGUGUCCUUGAGUCUUAUUUAAUAUUUUUAAUAGAUUAGCAAUCCCUCCUAAUCCCCGGCCUAGAACGAUACCCUACUUACAUCUAUACUACAAUUGUCAAAAAGAGGGUUUAAUUUGUGUGUCAAGUAAUUCUCGCACCAAUUAACGAGGCAUUCGUUAUUACGAUGAGCAUGAAACUCCUGCCAAGAAUUCAUUUAACGCGAUCGUUUAUAAACGACCUCCACUACUUGUGAAUAUAAGUUUGUAACUAUUAGGUGAAACUCCCUUAUACUCUAGCAUCAUAUUCAUGCAUGCAAACUAAGUGUGCACUCUUAAUAAACAUACACGAAUAAGUUAUCAAUCAAGCAGUUAAACAAAUUGAAGUCAUAACUUAUGAAAUCACAACUAAAGGUAAUCAAUUCAUAUUGCAAGUAUGUUCAUGGCUUUGAAUUCCCCCUAGCUAAGGGGGGGGUUUAGUUCCUCAUACUCACAAAGCAAAGAUAAACAAAUUUAGACAUUGAAAACAAAAGAAUGAAAACACCUAAAAACGCUCCAACAAUCCAACUUGAAUGGCAAGCAUGUCCAAGGGUCCUCAUUCUUCUCUUUGUUGCGGCACAAGGUGUGGUUUGAUGGAUGCAUAUGGAUAUAUGGAAGGGAAUGGCUGAAUGUGUUUAGGUUGGAUGAAGGUCACGGCAAGGAAAGGGAAAUGAAGGUGCAUGGAAUUGUGUUUUUAUUGUGGGAAUGUGUAGAAUGGUUAAGAAGAAAAGACUCUGCCUUGUGGCAGAAUGUGUCUUCCUCCUUUCUCCCUAAACUGUCCCCCUUGGAUGUGUCUUUGGAUGGAUAUAUUUAUAGGCUAGGGAGAGAAUGUAGUGGAUGGUGGUAAUGAGUGGAUGUAGUGGUAGGUGAAUGUGUUGGGUGGUUGAAAUGAGUGGAUGUGUUGGGUGAAAUGAGUGGAUGUAGUGGUAGGUGAAUGGAUGUGUUGGGUGAAAUGAGUGGAUGCGGUGGUAGGUGAAUGUGUUGGGUGGUUAUAAUGAGUGGAUGUGUUGGGUGAAAUGAGUGGAUAUAGUGGUAGGUGAAUGUGUUGGGUGGUUGUAAUGAGUGGAUGUAGUGGUAGGUGAAUGUGUUGGGUGGUUGUAAUGAGUGGAUGUGUUAGGUGAAAUGAGUGUGCUAAAAUGGUUAUUUAUAGGGAGAGGAUGAUGCAUAAACUUCAAAUUUCGUCCAUUCCUUUUGCUCCAAGAAUAUGCUAUCCAUUCCAUGCCCAAAAAUGCUCCAAAAUGCACUUCUUUGCCACA